GGGCUUGUAGCUCAGUUGGUUAGAGCGCACGCUUGAUAAGCGUGAGGUCGAAGGUUCAAAUCCUUCCGGGCCCACCA
rnacentral:tRNA from 1 species